rfam:Serratia fonticola strain DSM 4576, complete genome.
AAGUGUUGUCAGGUUACCGGCUGCUAUGGUAACUCUGUAGGCAUUAGUUCGAAACGAGCACAGUGAACAAACCGAUUAUGAAAGCCCUAGCCCAAGUGAUUAGCCUAGUCGUGAUUAGCGUGGUGGUGAUUAUUAUCCCACCGUGCGGGGCUGCACUUGGACGAAGAAAGGCUUAGAAAACAAGCCGGAAUCGCAAGAUAACCCCCGCACCCAAAAGGUCCGGGGGUUUUUUUAUGCCAAGAAAAUGUGAACAAGGAGCAGAGAAUGACCAACAGAAUAAAAUCCUGCGCUUCCCGCAACAA